rnacentral:lncRNA from 1 species
ACUUAGGAGAAAACUUGUUAAACCUACACCUGACACUUUUCGAAUUGUUAACAGAAUUAGCUUCAGGAACGGUUGUUUUUCUGUAUUACCGAUGUUAGUGCAUUGUGGAUAUUCAGAUUAGUGUAGGUUGAGUUUACGCUCAUGCUGAGAGGCCGAGCUUAUUUUUGCAGUAGAGUUUGGACUGUUUCGCACUGUCGGAUGCCGUUGGGACUGACGAUGGA